rnacentral:rRNA from 1 species
UACGUAGGGCGCAAGCGUUGUCCGGAAUUAUUGGGCGUAAAGAGCUCGUAGGCGGUCUGUCACGUCUGCCGUGAAAACCCGAGGCUUAACCUCGUGGCUUGCGGUGGAUACGGGCAGACUAGAGGUAGGUAGGGGAGAACGGAAUUCCUGGUGUAGCGGUGGAAUGCGCAGAUAUCAGGAGGAACACCGAUGGCGAAGGCAGAUCUCUGGGCCGUAACUGACGCUGAGGAGCGAAAGCAUGGGGAGCGAACAGG